GACGAACGCUGGCGGCGUGCUUAACACAUGCAAGUCGAGCGGUAAGGCCCUUCGGGGUACACGAGCGGCGAACGGGUGAGUAACACGUGGGUGACCUGCCCUCCACUCUGGGAUAAGCCCGGGAAACUGGGUCUAAUACCGGAUAGGACCAUUGGAUGCAUGUCCGGUGGUGGAAAGUUCUUCGGUGGGGGAUGGGCCCGCGGUCUAUCAGCUUGUUGGUGGGGUGAUGGCCUACCAAGGCGACGACGGAUAGCCGGCCUGAGAGGGUGAUCGGCCACACUGGGACUGAGACACGGCCCAGACUCCUACGGGAGGCAG
rnacentral:rRNA from 1 species